rnacentral:rRNA from 1 species
AGUGAACGCUGGCGGUAGGCCUAACACAUGCAAGUCGAACGGCAGCACAGUAAGAGCUUGCUCUUACGGGUGGCGAGUGGCGGACGGGUGAGGAAUACAUCGGAAUCUACUUUUUCGUGGGGGAUAACGUAGGGAAACUUACGCUAAUACCGCAUACGACCUACGGGUGAAAGCAGGGGAUCUUCGGACCUUGCGCGAUUGAAUGAGCCGAUGUCGGAUUAGCUAGUUGGCGGGGUAAAGGCCCACCAAGGCGACGAUCCGUAGCUUGUCUGAGAGGAUGAUCAGCCACACUGGAACUGAGACACGGUCCAGACUACUACGGGAGGCAGCAGUGGGGAAUAUUGGACAAUGGGCGCAAGCCUGAUCCAGCCAUACCGCGUGGGUGAAGAAGGCCUUCGGGUUGUAAAGCCCUUUUGUUGGGAAAGAAAAGCAGCAGGUUAAUACCCCGCUGUUCUGACGGUACCCAAAGAAUAAGCACCGGCUAACUUCGUG